rnacentral:rRNA from 1 species
GUGGGUAGUUUGACUGGGGCGGUCUCCUCCUAAAGAGUAACGGAGGAGCACGAAGGUUGGCUAAUCCUGGUCGGACAUCAGGAGGUUAGUGCAAUGGCAUAAGCCAGCUUGACUGCGAGCGUGACGGCGCGAGCAGGUGCGAAAGCAGGUCAUAGUGAUCCGGUGGUUCUGAAUGGAAGGGCCAUCGCUCAACGGAUAAAAGGUACUCCGGGGAUAACAGGCUGAUACCGCCCAAGAGUUCAUAUCGACGGCGGUGUUUGGCACCUCGAUGUCGGCUCAUCACAUCCUGGGGCUGAAGUAGGUCCCAAGGGUAUGGCUGUUCGCCAUUUAAAGUGGUACGCGAGCUGGGUUUAGAACGUCGUGAGACAGUUCGGUCCCUAUCUGCCGUGGGCGCUGGAGA